GACGUAGGAUGCAAGCGUUGUCCGGAAUCAUUGGGCGUAAAGAGUUCGUAGGCGGUUUAUCAAGUCUGGUGUUAAAGCCCGAGGCUCAACCUCGGAUCGGCACUGGAUACUGGUAGGCUGGAGUGCAGUAGAGGCAAGGGGAAUUCCCAGUGUAGCGGUGAAAUGCGUAGAUAUUGGGAGGAACACCAGUGGCGUAAGCGCCUUGCUGGGCUGUUACUGACGCUGAGGAACGAAAGCCAGGGGAG
rnacentral:rRNA from 1 species